rnacentral:piRNA from 1 species
GAAUGCCGAAAGUUGAGGCGAUGACU